rnacentral:rRNA from 1 species
GACAGAGGGUGCAAACGUUGCUCGGAAUCACUGGGCGUAAAGGGCGUGUAGGCGGUUUGUCGCGUCUGCUGUGAAAUCCCGAGGCUCAACCUCGGGCCUGCAGUGGGUACGGGCAGACUGGAGUGCGGUAGGGGAGAAUGGAAUUCCUGGUGUAGCGGUGGAAUGCGCAGAUAUCAGGAGGAACACCGAUGGCGAAGGCAGUUCUCUGGGCCGCAACUGACGCUGAGGAGCGAAAGCAUGGGGAGCGAACAGG